AGCAGCCGCGGUAAUUCCAGCUCCAAUAGCGUAUAUUAAAGUUGUUGCAGUUAAAAGCUCGUAGUUGAACUUCGGGGUUUGCCCAUUGGUCAGGCUUAAUUGUCUGCACUGGUGAGAUGAAUCUCUACCUUCUGAGGAACUUUCAUGCCAUUUAUUGGUGCGAUGGGAAAUCAGGACUGUUACUUUGAAAAAUUAGAGUGUUUAAAGCAGGCUAACGUCUGAAUACAUUAGCAUGGAAUAAUGAAAUAGGACGGACUGAUUCUAUUUCGUUGGUUUCUAGGAUCACCGUAAUGAUUAAUAGGGACAGUUGGGGGCAUUAGUAUUCAAUUGUCAGAGGUGAAAUUCUUGGAUUUAUUGAAGACUAACUACUGCGAAAGCAUUUGCCAAGGAUGUUUUCAUUAAUCAAGAACGAAGUUAGGGGAUCGAAGACGAUCAGAUACCGUCGUAGUCUUAACCAUAAACCUAUGCCGACUAGGGAUCGGACGAAGUUAAUUUUAUAAUGACGCG
rnacentral:rRNA from 1 species